ensembl:lncRNA
GUGCCUCCCUUCGCAUCUGACUUCUUAGGAGACAGCGGAGGCGCUCCCAACCACAGAUGCGGGGGAAGGCCUGGAGGGGAAAUGUGAGAAAGGGCAGUGAAGCAACCGAGAGGAAAAGUCCCCAUUUUUUCAGGACAGAACUGUAGAGCUGGCUCCACACGUGACAGCACUGUGGGCGCUGCAGGGACUGCCGGUGGCUCCCCCAGCGUCUCCGGGCUUCUUGCGUUGUGCGAGAGCCUGGGGUCAAGACCACAUAGACAGUUUAUAUUGCACUGAGUAGCAUCCCCCUGAAAUGUCCAUCCACCUGGACGCUCCGAAUGCGGCCCCCUUUGGAGGCAGGGUCUUUGCAGACAUCAUUAGUAAAGAUGAGAUCCUGCAGGACGCAGUAGGGCUGGCGUCCUGGUAAGAAGAGGAGAGACAGACAGAGAGACGCAGGGCAGAAGACCACGUGACAACGGAGGCGGGGAUCGCAGUGGGGCAGCCAGGCGCCCAGGAACACCCAGAGCCACCAGAAGCUGGAAGAGACCAGGCUCCUCCCCUGGAGCCAUGAGACAGGGCGCAGCCCCGCGUACCUUGAUCUCAGACCUCCAGCCCCCAGGACUGCGAUUCCAAGCCAGCCGGCUGGUGGUAUUUGUGGUGGCGGCCACAGGCAGCUUUGGGAGCAGUUAAAUCCUCGUCCUGAGCCUCCUCCGCUCGGAGUAACCAGAGAGCCGUCCGUCUUCCCUGCGGAUCCGUCCAGCCACCUGGCCUAUCACGUGCGCCUAGCAAACACGGCUGCUCUUGCCUUCCCAGCCCUCGGGACGGCUUUGUUGUUGGAGGUGUGAGAAGACCGUUGGCUCCUUGGGCCCCAGCACAGCACCUCAGAUGCUACUUCUAGAACUCUCCAGUGCUCAGUGGUUGCUCCCUGCCACCAACUCAUACACAUGGCCAUUCCGUGAGCGUUGUUGAAGGUCUGCCCUGCGCCAGGAAAAAACAGGACAGCAUGUCUCCACAGCACGUCUGGAUUCCAGCCUAUUCAAAUCAACCAUGCUGAAUUGUCCCUGAGCCCUGCCCUCCUGGAAAACAGCAAGAUCUAGAAACCCUCCCGCCCUUCUGUGUUCUGGAAAAAACACUUACUGCAAAGCACCAGCCUUCCCAUGUGACUCAGAUCUGACUCACAGAUGUCCCCUUGUUUACCUGUGACAAGGCCAGUGAAAAACCAUCCAAUUCCCAUUCUCUGCGCAUGAAAGAUUAGCUGACCUGUUUGUCCCCACCGGCCAGUCUGUCCCUUAAGGUCCAAACGUGUCCCUGCCCCUGUGAAGCCUCUCUCCUGCCAGCAGGCUCGCUCUCAGCCCUGCCCAGCGUGCAGUGCCCCACAGCCUCCUGAGAACACGCGGCCAGUGACAGGCACCGGGAGCGACGCCCUCUGAUCUACCGUCCCCUUCUCCAUGGGUGGAGGGGCCGGAGGAGGGGUGGACAGGGCUCUGUUUCAUCGUGAGGGCAGACCAUCUGAGUCUGUGCCCUGCAGAGGCCUGGGGCUGCGGCACCUGAGCAAGUCGCAGGGGUGUGAGGGAGGGCGGCAGGGGCUGUGAGGUGCCCCCAUACACGUCCACUCGGGGGAGGCACAGCCUAGCAAGAGACAGACACCCAAACUCAAAGACUGCCUCAAAGACCCGCCAGACUGUGAGACCAAAACACAGAGGAUGAGAACAGCCGUGGUCGGGGGGGCCCAUGGCAGAAAUGAGGACAUUCUAGAACACGUUCUCCUGACAGGGCUUUAGGGGUUAUUUCCUCCGGGGGCCUCAGAGACCUUCCUCUUUGGUGCAUGGUCUGCUUGGCAAUGUUUGCAGCGCGGUGCUGAGAAGGACCCUGAAGCCAACAUGAACUCAAGGGUCGAUGGACCAGCGGGGCUGCCAGAAGCAUGGGGCUGGGGGAGCAUGGGAUACGCUCCUGAUGGUCUAACCCUAUCGCUUCACAAAGGAGGAAACACGGCCCAGAAAGAGCGCAGCUUUCCUGAAGGCGGCACAGCAGGAAGCGGCAGAAUACAAAUUGUCUGAGGACCCCUCCCUCAGCCACAUGGGAAGCUGACUCAAAGCACACAGGAUCCCGAUGCUCUCCCUGUCGCUGACCUCGCAGGCUGCACCCUCAAACACCUGAGACGCUCACGUCCCACAGGCCUGGGGAACAGGACUCCUCUCUCUCCACCAGAAUCUGGCUGUGCCCGGCCCUGUGGCUUGGCCCGAGCCCACAGCUCAUACGGAUCCCAUAUCAGUGAUUUCUCUGGAAUGAAAACCAACAUUAGCCACUGAAGAGGAUCAUAAAAUCUAAAACCACAGACCUGGAGGGAAACUUAGCUUCUAGUCUACUGUUUACCAAAGGGAUGAUAUUUGGGGGGAAAAUUCAGUGGCUAAAAAAUUAAGAAAAAUUAAAAAAUAAUAAAAAUGCCAGGUAACAUUUAUUUUUAAGCACUAUGUGGGUGCCAGGUACUGCUCUGAGCACCCUGCACCUAGCAGUUCUCUUUAGGUGGCCAGCUUAGAGCACAAGAACUACUCAGAUUCCAGUAAGAGAUUCCUUCUUUG